rnacentral:rRNA from 1 species
CCCAGACUCCUACGGGAGGCAGCAGUGGGGAAUAUUGCACAAUGGGCGCAAGCCUGAUGCAGCCAUGCCGCGUGUGUGAAGAAGGCCUUCGGGUUGUAAAGCACUUUCAGUCAGGAGGAAAGGUUAGUAGUUAAUACCUGCUAGCUGUGACGUUACUGACAGAAGAAGCACCGGCUAACUCCGUGCCAGCAGCCGCGGUAAUACGGAGGGUGCGAGCGUUAAUCGGAAUUACUGGGCGUAAAGCGUACGCAGGCGGUUUKUUAAGCGAGAUGUGAAAGCCCCGGGCUCAACCUGGGAACUGCAUUUCGAACUGGCAAACUAGAGUGUGAUAGAGGGUGGUAGAAUUUCAGGUGUAGCGGUGAAAUGCGUAGAGAUCUGAAGGAAUACCGAUGGCGAAGGCAGCCACCUGGGUCAACACUGACGCUCAUGUACGAAAGCGUGGGGAGCAAACAGGAUUAGAUACCCUGGUAGUCCACGCCGUAAACGAUGUYUACUAGAAGCUCGGAACUUCGGUUCUGUUUUUCAAAGCUAACGCAUUAAGUAGACCGCCUGGGGAGUACGGCCGCAAGGUUAAAACUCAAAUGAAUUGACGGGGGCCCGCACAAGCGGUGGAGCAUGUGGUUUAAUUYGAUGCAA